CAUUAAGAAGCUAAACCAGCGUUAACCUUUUAAGUUAAAGAUUGAAAGCAUAAACUUUCCUUAA